rnacentral:rRNA from 1 species
AUUGAACGCUGGCGGCGUGCCUAAUACAUGCAAGUCGAGCGAAUGGACGAGAAGCUUGCUUGUCUUAUGUUAGCGGCGGACGGGUGAGUAACACGUGGAUAACCGACCUUUAAGACUGGGAUAACUUCGGGAAACCUGAUCUAACACCGGUCGAUAUUUUGAACCGCAUGGUUCAUCAGACAAAAACGGUCUUGCUGUCCCUUAUACAUGUAUCCUCGCUGCAUUAGCUAGUUGGUAAGGUAACGGCCUACCAAGGCUAGGAUGCAUAGCCGACCUGAGAGGAUGAUCAGCCACACUGGUACUGAGACACGGUCCAGACUCCUACGGGAGGCAGCAGUAGGGAAUCUUGCACAAUGGGCGAAAGCCUGACGCAGCAACGCCGCGUGAGUGAAGAAGGUCUUCGGAUCGUAAAACACUGUUAUUUGGGAAGAAGAUAUGUGUGAUAAUAACUGCACAUGUUGACGGUACCAACAGAGAAAGCAACGGCUAACUUCGUG